UCUCGAUUAGUAUAGUGGUCAGUAUGCCAGCUUGUCAAUCUUCAAGGAAGAACAACUCGCUGGAGACCGGGGUUCAAUUCCCCGAUCGAGAG